CCUACUCCCCUUGUAAUGUGUCUGGUGCAGCCAGCAUGUUCCGAUCUAUUUUGUCUAUUCAAAUUUUUUUCUAGCUUCCCAUUGUAAAAGGUAGAGCUAGAUAUAUUAGUCCUUGUUUGAUUUAGAUUAAAAAUUGCUCAAAAUUUUAAGUCAAGGUGACCAAUUAAUUUUAAGUUUAGUAGUCGUUGGAACAAUUAAUUCCCCCUAAAGCAAAAGCCUCGAUUAUCAAAGGGUACGCAGAACGGCGGGGCAGAUGGAGCAGAACGGCGGCGGAAGGAAGAAGAGGGAGAAGCCAAAUAUACUGAUAACAGGAACACCAGGAACCGGUAAGACCACGAUGGCGUCUGCUCUGGCGGAGGCUACUCAAUUUUGCCAUAUAAAUAUCGGAGAUUUGGUCAAGGAAAAGAACCUCCACGACGGCUGGGAUGACCAGUUCGAUUGUUAUUUGAUCAAUGAAGACCUGGUGUGUGAUGAGCUUGAGGAUUUGAUGGAAGGUGGUGGUAACAUUGUGGAUUACCAUGGAGGCGACUUCUUUCGUCAGCGUUGGUUCGAUCGCGUAGUAGUGCUCCAAACUGAAAAUUCCGUGUUGUAUGACAGAUUGACAAAGAGGGGUUAUACUGGGCAGAAACUUACUAACAAUAUAGAAUGUGAAAUCUUUCAAGUGUUGCUGGAGGAGGCCAAGGAGAGUUAUCCUGAAGAAAUUGUGGUGGCAUUAAGAAGCGACUGUAUCGAUGACAUGAACAGUAACGUGGCCACUUUGACUGAUUGGAUUAGAAGUUGGAGCUGCCAAUCUUGAUCACGACUUUACUGAAAAUGUCAAAUUUGAAGGUCAUAAUGUGGGAAGUUCUUGCUUGUGAUGGUGUCUUGCAUAGAAUGUUGGUGAAAGUGACUAAUAGUUGGAAUGGCGAGUUCCGGGCUGCCUGUGUUGUCAUUGCUUCUCCUUGCAUAGCUAAUAUAUUUCCUUCCCAGACGUGGACGUUGGCGUGAUCCAUCAAGCUUGACGUACUUUCCAUUUCUUCCAAUCAUUAUGGGAAUGGUUGAACAGAUCAAACCAAUUCCCUACUGGAAAAUAUGCAUCAAAAGAAACUGCUCUAGACUGUGGUACAGAUGAAAUCAUUAUCCCCUUAUCACGUAGAAACUGUGAGCUGAUUUUGUAAGUGUUGGUAUGGGCAAUUGGGAUGUGUACAAGUAUGGUAACGAAGUCCAAGCACUUUCCUGGCUGAUGCAGAGAGCGAAUCCCAGAUAUAUAGCUCUUGACCGACGGAUGGUGAAUUUCUCAGAGUGGCCUCUGGCAAAGGGAUAAAAGUUGUCUAUUGAAAACCACAUAUAUCCAGCUCUAACCAUCGGAAUUCCAAAUAUUCCAAUGUCGAAGAUGCUGGGUAUUGUGUGUGCCAAAUUUUCCAGUGUGGCUGCCGUGUCUCCAGUCCCGUGUGCUUUGUACUUUCCAGAAACCACGAAAAUAGAUCUACUCAGCACAAAUGGCCUUUUACCAAUGACAUUAGUUAAAGCUGCAUUAGUAACUCAUGUCUCAUUUAUGCUGGUCCCAGGAUUUUUGAUGAUCCCUAUUUAUGAUCAUUCUGAUAAAGUGAAUCAACGAAACUUUCAUCUUAUCCGGAGGAAAAUUCAGUAAAAUCCUUGUAGCCAUUCCAUAUAAUCAAUAUCCGUACACAUUUCUGGAGGGAUUUGAAUUUUAAGCUUUCUUAUAAACAGCAGCCACAUUCUCAAGAUCGCUAAAGACCAGUAAGGCAUGCAGCAGGGAGUCCAAUGAGUUCACUGUACUGUUCCAUAACCAUUUACGGCGGUGGGCAAUAUCUCUAAAGAAACUCCCCAGAUUCUUAUUCUACAGCAGUUGCUAAAGAAAAGAGAGGAGAAGGCUGGAGAAGUCCUAGAGAAUUCUGGUCUGGCAAUAUGAAGUCUUUCGAAUACAUGAAAUGUUGAAGUAUGAAACUCUGUAAAUUGCAAAGAUAAACAAUUCCUUAUCCUCAUCAUAGAUUUUAAAUGAAGAGAAGGCCCUUGAUUGCACAUAACAGUCGGAAAAAGACUUAUGCUCAGUCACAAUGUAAGGUGUUACAAGAGAAGCUUUCAACUCUAGUAAGAAAAGCACUCACUUUAGUUGCCCCGUGCAUAUGUAAGCUAAUCUUGGUUCGACUUUACCUUCAUCACUUGGUAUUUCGAAUCCAGCAAUGCAGAAUUUAUAAAAGCUGUCCAGAUUCAAAAGGUUAGCCCUGAAGAUUUCAAGUUUCUUGGAGUUUCGACAAGAAGGUUCAAGGAGAGUAUUGCUGCCUAGUUCGAUUUUUACCUUCCUUCCCUAGGUAUUUUCGAAUUCAGCAAGCAGAUUUUGGGUUUCUUCAUCCAGAUUUCUAUGUUCUUUGCUAAGUUCGAAUCCAGCAAUUCAUCUUGAGGUUCGGCCAACAGCUUAUAUAUUUUAAUCAUCUAGCUUUCGUGGAUGUUUGGAAAUUUAUGUUCUUGAAGAUUCAAGUUUUUGUCUUGCUGUUUGUUACUUGUUUGGGCAAUUAAUUCAAAUUUUCUUUCCCCCUUCAAAUUUGAAUUAUUCAAACUGGCCCUUCAGUAUCACAGCAUUGUUCCCUGCCUUUUGCAGUCA